CAGAGAGAGACAUGCGCGCAUAUCAAUAAGCGGAGGAAAAGAAACUAACAAGGAUUCCCUUAGUAACGGCGAGUGAAGCGGGAAGAGCUCAAAUUUGAAAUCUUCAAGGUUUUACCUUGACGAAUUGUAGUUUAAAGAAGUGUUUUCUGCUGAAGUUUUGGUAAAAGUUCUUUGGAAUAGGACAUCAUAGAGGGUGAGAAUCCCGUAUUUGACCAUUAUUUUCAGCUUUGUGAUACACUUUCAAAGAGUCGGAUUGUUUGGGAAUGCAGUCCAAAAUGGGCGGUAAAUUUCAUCUAAAGCUAAAUAUUGGCGAGAGACCGAUAGCGAACAAGUACCGUGAGGGAAAGAUGAAAAGAACUUUGAAAAGAGAGUUAAACAGUACGUGAAAUUGUCAAAAGGGAAGCGUUUGACACCAGUGUUGUUUUCUCGAAAAUCAAUUAAAAAUGGCUCGAUUUUGUAUUGCUGAGACCUUAAAAGCUCACUGUACAUUUUUCGUGUCUUUUUUAAUGCACUUUUCGUUUAACAAGUCAACAUCAGUUUCUUUUGUUGUAAAAGGGUCAUUGGAAGGUGGCUUUCUUUUCGGAGAAAGUGUUUAUAGCCUUUGGCCUCUGCAAUCGGAGAGUACUGAGGUCUGCAGCGUAGACUCUUCGGGGUUAGAUACAUUUGUGCUAAGUUAUAGCUUUUUAUAGACAACUUGUUGACUAUAAUUAGUCUUGUAGCUUACUCGCUUAUGCUAUUUUACCUACGCUUAGGAUGUUGAAGAUGUAGCACAUCAU
rnacentral:rRNA from 1 species